UUACGAUUUAUUUUUGUACAUUUUUAUAUACACAAAAGGUUGAUAUUAUAAAGGAUAAUGAUGG